GUUUUAUUAAGAGAUAUUUCAAAAGAAAUAUGCUCAUUUAUUUCAAUGUGCUACCCCAGGUAGCUGUGGAACCUCCAAGCCAUCGCGUGUAUGCAUGCAAUCAUGCUUUGGGCCACUUGUUGGACAGUUCAGUAAAUUUGUCUUCCAUUCUCUGAGAUCAUCUUAUCUUUAGGCUGGUCAUCCAAAGCUAACUGAAUUGAAAUUAAUAUUUUUAGACAAAAAUACCUUACAAGGUCAAUUUAUGUUUUGAUCAGUUAACCAAAUAUAUAUCAAAAGGAAUUAUGACCAAAAAAAAAUCAUUCAAAUUUCUAGGGAUUCCUAUAAGAAAUAUACAUUACUGAAAUUAUUUGUUCUCUUUUAAGAGAAAAACAUCUCAAAUGCUUGAGUGGAAAUUCCCAAAGUGGUGUUUGCUCACAUUCUGAUCCAGGCUUUACCCCCAAGAGCCAUGCAUGUGAGGCUGCCGCGAACCUUUUGUUAGACUUGGUAUUAAGUGGGCAGCACAAAUCUAGUAUGGUAUACUCAUUUGUCUCAGUAUUUCACAUUUCCUGUGCUAUUGUCAGAGAAACCUUUGCCUAGUCCAGGUACUGUUAGUGUAAGGUCGCCAUCGCUAGAGCUCUGCUUUGUUUGUGGAGCUGAGCCUGGACAGCUGCAGCUUUGUAGAUAGGCAGUGUGUGAUCCUUCAUUUUGAAGGAGAAAAAAUACAGAUUUCAUGCAUUACAAAUAGGAUACUGACCUAAUGAAUUACAUAGUAGGCUCCUGGUUUGUUUAGAAGUUUGGUAUAGACCCUUAAGAAAUAUUAUUUACACGUUGGCCUUAUCCUUAGGGGAAACUUUUCACAUUUUUAUUUUUACCUACCCAGUCUAAAGAAAAUGUCUUCAUUGACUGUAACAUAAAAAGUAUUGACUCCGGUAAUUUAUUCCUUUUUGCUAUUUUUUAUUCUCCCCGAUGAAUUUGUAGAAAUGUUAACCCACGAAUGGUUCAGCUUCUCUGUACCUUUGUUGAGCCUUACUCUUGGCAGAAGAUAGGGUUAUCAAUAUAAUUAUGAAGCAUAUUUAAGAGAAAAAAUAGCUAGAAUGCUCAUACAAGUAAAGUAUUUUCCUGCAGUUUUCUUUUUUUUUUUGGUACCAGGGAUCAAAUGCGGGUCCUUGUGCUUGUGCAGCAGGCCGCGAAACCACUAAGCUAAAAUCCCCGGCCCACCUGCAGUUUUCUUUAAAAGCUGCAGUGUCAUGCUGGUCAGCUCCUUCGUAAAUAUGAAGUCAGAAAUGGAAGUGAGUGUAAUGCUGUCCUGAAUAACCAGAGCUCAGCUUCUCAUAUUUGGCUUGCUCUCUGUUUAUUGCUUCUGCAGAUCAGCUCUGGGCCAAGCCUUCCUCCUGCAAAAGCUUAGAUCACUAAUUCUUUUGUUACUGUGGUAUCAGUAAACACACUUGAAAUGUUUAAAUUCAAAGUCCUGAGGAAGAAGUUAUGUGGUGGUUAAGUUUCACAUUUGUGAAAGAGAAAAUUAAGAGAAUCUGGAAUAAUGUGUUUGGUUGUUAAUAGGAUGCACAUCAGUUUUUCUAAAGAAAGCUUGGCCUAAGGCGUUUAUAAGUAUAGGUAAGGAUGGUUUUAAGGCAGUAAACAGUGGAUUACAGAGUUACAUAAUUUAGAAUGUUUCUAAUAAUUGAGACCUUUAGCAUUUUUCUUUUGGAGUCUCAUUUUCAUUUGUGCAAUAUUUCCAGGCAUCUGAGACUACUGUUCAUUGUAUUUAUAUAGAUAUUAGAGAACUUACUAUUUUAACAAGUAAAAAUCUGAAUAUAUCAGAUUUGCACUUUAAAUGAGCUUAACUGCUUGGAGUUGUGCCUGAAAUAUCAAAAUGCCUCCUCUUAGGUGUGGCUUUGUUUAGUGAAAUGGAUUCCUCUGUAAUUGUUGCUGUUUGAAAAUAUCAGUAGAGCCUUUCACAGAAUCUAUCCCCCACACAUCACUUUUUCCAUUAAAGCACUGUUUUCUUUAAAUGUUCCAUUGUUCCCUUAAGUGUUUUACUAGUGUCAGUCACUGCAUCAGGGAGACUGUGACCUUCCCCCUAGCCAUCAUCUCUGGGGGAGAGGCGCACUCUGUCUUCCCAGCAGCGUGGUCCUCAUGCUUCCAGGCUCCAGAGCAUGUGCUUUGAAAUCACCAGGGGCCCUCGCAGAAAGAGAAGACUGAGGCGCCACCUCCGGUUCCUCUCUACCAUACACGGUAGUUUCGUGUUGCUGAGUUACUUUGGGCAGUUAUGUUUGCAUGCUUAUUAUGCACACAUUUGAAAAUUAUAACUAUAAUACAGACACCUUAUAUUUUUCCUUGGGGAUGAUGGCCUUGCUGUUUUUCUUAAUUCUGAUGCUUGAAUUCUGUUUGUUCUUGGUCUUUUUACAUGUUCCUUUAAGUUUUCUGCUGCAGCAAUUUGAGAGAAUACAUUUGUAUAGAUGAUUAUGAUGGUGGGCACCAAUGUACAAUUAUGUUAUUAAUGAAAAAUAAUGUCUUAACCUUGUUGAGGAAAAGUUACCCACUUUCUUCUUGGUAAAACAUUGCCAUAGCAAAAUAAUACUGACCCUGAAAGUUUAAAGUCUUAAGACAUGACUAAAAACAAAAAUAGUAGCCACAGUAUUGUUUUUUACAUUGACUUCAAAAACUGGUUCCAAGUACAUACUGUAUGUUAGAACUUGCCUGUAAAGUGAAUUAUAAAGACCGAAUGUAAAGUCUCUUUCAUGAAAAUCUUGGCAUAGUAAAUAAAAAUAAAGUUCAUAAUUAUAAAAAAA
ensembl:lncRNA